rnacentral:lncRNA from 10 species
ACAAUAUGAUCCCAUUUAUAAGAGGUACAUAGAGUAGUCAAAUUCAGAGGCAGAAAGCAGAAUGGUGGCUUCCAGGUCUGGGGGAAGAGGAAUGGGGAGUUUUUGUCUAAUGAGUGUGGAGUUUAAGCCUGGGAGGAUGAAAAGAGCCCCGGAAAUGGAUGGUGGGGAUGGUUGCACAAGAAUGUGAAUGCACUUAACACCACUAAACUAACUGUACAUUUAAAAUGGAAAAUUUUAUGUUAUGUGUAUUUUUCUGCAAUUAAACAAAACACCGGGUGAUUUAAAGGGGCUGCCUGAUCAAUAGCCAAACUAUUAUUAGUUUGACUCAGCUUUGAUUUCCUGUUAAGGCCACUUUGCCCAGAGCAGGACUUUAAGGAGCCAGAGCAGCGAGGAGCCGGAGAUGGAGAGGUGACAGGCGUGAGGACAGUAAUUCACUGGGCGCUGGAAUGCGUUUUGACAAAGGCCAGGUGUCGGUUCCCGUCCUGACCUGCAGGGGGCACUCUGGUGGGUCCUGGGAAACAGGAGGAGAACGGGAAGCCUAGAAAGCCCUGGGAGCUCCUUGAGCGACAGGGAAGCCUCUGUCUACCACUUUUACUGAGGCGAGGCCUUCCCACCCCUGUGGAACUGUGAGUCAAUUAAAACCUCUUUCUUUUAUAAAUUACCCAGUCUCAGGCAGUCCUUCAUAGCAGUGUGAGAACGGACUAACACAGAUGUCAUGAGGAGGACUUGAGAAAGAGACAAGAGAAGAGGAUUCUUCAGAAAUGUUGGUGUUAUGAAUGGAACCCAAACCCCACCCUUUGGCAUCUUUAAGAGAUUUCAGUAAAGACAUAAAUUGAUUUAAAAACUGUGUUUUGGUCAAGCAUAGCGGCUCACUUCUAUAAUCCUAGUACUUUCAGAGGCCAAGGUGGAAAGAUUGCUUGAGGCCAGGAGUUUAAGACCAGCCUGGGCAACAUAGCAAGACUCUGUCUCUCAAAAACAAAUUAAAAUUAGCCUUAUGUGGU